AUUGGACGCUGGCGGCAUGCCUUACACAUGCAAGUCGAACGGCAGCAUGAUCUAGCUUGCUAGAUUGAUGGCGAGUGGCGAACGGGUGAGUAAUACAUCGGAACGUGCCCUGUAGUGGGGGAUAACUAGUCGAACGCUUAGCAACUACCGCAUACGACCUGAAGGUGAAAGAGGGGGACCGCAAGGCCUCAAGCUAUACUAUCGGCCGGUGUCGGAUUAGCUAGUUGGUGAGGUAAAGGCUCACCAAGGCGACGAUCAGUAGCUGGUCUGAGAGGACGAUCAGCCACACUGGGACUGAGACACGGCCCAGACUCCUACGGGAGGCAGCAGUGGGGAAUUUUGGACAAUGGGGGCAACCCUGAUCCAGCAAUGCCGCGUGUGUGAAGAAGGCCUUCGGGUUGUAAAGCACUUUUGUCCGGAAAGAAAUCGCACUUACUAAUAUUAGGUGUGGAUGACGGUACCGGAAGAAUAAGGACCGGCUAACUACGUGCCAGCAGCCGCGGUAAGAC
rnacentral:rRNA from 1 species